CUUCAGUGUGCUGAAGAGGAUUCAGAACUGCGAGAAGAGUGUCAGCCAGAGCUUUCCUCUACUCUGCAAAUUAAAGAUACAACUUUCUCCAUCUUGGACUCAACAUGAGAAAGCAGAGCUGACACCAUGUCACAAACAGAAUUGCUCAGUUUGGAAAGGGCACAUAUCGAGCUCAGGAGAUGGCAU
rnacentral:sRNA from 1 species